rnacentral:misc_RNA from 1 species
GAUGAAGAACGUAGGCGAAAUGCGAUACUUGGUGUGAAUUGCAGAAUCCCGUGAACCAUCGAGUCUUUGAACGCAAGUUGCGCCUCAAGCCAUUAGGUUGAGGGCACGUCUGCCUGGGCGUCACAUAUCGUUGCCUGAUGCCAGUUUCCUCGUGAUGGGUGACUGUGCAGGGCGAAUGAUGGCUUCCCGUGAGCAUUGUUGCCUCAUGGUUGGUUGAAAAUUGAGUCCUUGGUAGGGAGCGCCGUGAUAGAUGGUGGUUGAGUGACGAACGAGACCCAAUCAUGUGAGACCCCUACCGAAUUUGGCCUUCAUGACCCACAUGCGUCUUUGGAACGCUCAUGACGAGACCUCAGGUCAGGCGGGGCUACCCGCUGAGUUUAAGCAUAUCAAUAAGCGGAGGA